rnacentral:rRNA from 1 species
CAUCUUAUUAAUAUUAAGCUUCGGCACUUGAUGAUGGGUGUGCGGCUGAUUAGAUAGUUGGCGGGUAACGCCCACAGUCUACGAUCAGUAGCUGAUGUGAGAGCAUGAUCAGCCACACGGGCACUGAGACACGGGCCCGACUCCUACGGGAGGCAGCAGUAAGGAAUAUUGGACAAUGGACGAAAGUCUGAUCCAGCCGUGCCGCGUGAAGGAUUAAGGUCCUCUGGAUUGUAAACUUCUUUUAUAUGGGACGAAAAAAGGGCGUUCUUGUUCACUUGACGGUACCAUAUAGAAUAAGCACCGGCUAACUCCGUG